CACCUCCUUUACAGGGAGACCAAACCAAUUUGUCAGGCGUAAAGCGCGUGCUGACGAAGCGGUCAUCCCGUGGUCGGUCGAGGAAUUAGUGAGGCUUUCAAACUACAAUCGGUUCGGAUUCGGGGCUAUUAGCUCAGGUGGUUAGAGCGCACCCCUGAUAAGGGUGAGGUCCCUGGUUCGAGUCCAGGAUGGCCCACCUGGAAACAAAUUCGUAAUUACUACGAAUUAGCAAGGGUGAGGAAUUACCCAAGUCGGGGGGUAUAGCUCAGUUGGUAGAGCGCUGCCUUUGCAAGGCAGAAGCCAGCGGUUCGAGUCCGCUUACCUCCACUGGGAGGAGAAAGGGGGGUGGGCGAAAGCGUGGUGAAAGACCUGUGUUCACGAAUGCCGCCGCUAGUGCCAGCAGGGUGUGAGCGACAAGGACAGUGGAAAUAAUUGAAGAGUCAGCAACCGGACGAGGAACAACCGAGUCGGACUGCUGGAAAAUCUUCCAGCCAGAACCUUGAAAACUGCAUAGUAACGCGUGUUCAAUAGAUAGCUACUCUGAACAGGAAACUCGCAAGUGUAGCUACCAGGUGAAAAACUUGAGUGGUCAAGCUAAUUAGGGCUUACGGUGGAUACCUAGGCA
rnacentral:tRNA from 2 species